rnacentral:tRNA from 9 species
GCUCGAGUGGCGGAAUUGGUAGACGCGCUGGAUUCAAAAUCCAGUUCUUUCGGGAGUGUGGGUUCGAUUCCCACCUCGAGUACAA